UACGAAGGGGGCUAGCGUUGUUCGGAAUUACUGGGCGUAAAGGGCGCGUAGGCUGUGCUGUAAGUCAGGCGUGAAAUCCCCGGGCUCAACCUGGGAAUUGCGUUUGAUACUGCGGCGCUGGAAUGCAGGAGAGGAUGGCGGAAUUCCCAGUGUAGAGGUGAAAUUCGUAGAUAUUGGGAAGAACACCGGUGGCGAAGGCGGCAUCUGGCCUGUAAUUGACGCUGAGGCGGCGAAAGCGUGGGGAGCAAACAGG
rnacentral:rRNA from 1 species